UAAGAUCAAAAAUAGGAAAAAGGG
rnacentral:piRNA from 1 species